rnacentral:rRNA from 1 species
GGUGAACGCUGGCGGCGUGCCUAAGACAUGCAAGUCGAGCGGGCCGCGGGGUUUUACUCCGUGGUCAGCGGCGGACGGGUGGGUAACGCGUGGGUGACCUACCCGGAAGAGGGGGACAACCCGGGGAAACUCGGGCUAAUCCCCCAUGUGGACCCGCCCCUUGGGGUGUGUCCAAAGGGAUUUCCCGGCUUCCGGAUGGGCCCGCGUCCCAUCAGCUAGUUGGUGGGGUAAUGGCCAUCCAAGGCGACGACGGGUAGCCGGCCAGGGAGGGUGGCCGGCCACAGGGGCACUGAGACACAGGCCCGGCACCUACGGGGGGCAGCAGUUAGGGAUCGUCAGCAAUGGGCACAAGCGUGACGGAGCGACGGCGCGUGGAGGAAGAGGACCGCCGGGGUGUAAACUCGUGAACCCGGGACGAAACCCCGACGAGGUGACGGAGGGUACCGGAGUAAUAGCGCCGGCCAACUCCGUG